rnacentral:rRNA from 1 species
UUAAGCGACUAAGCGUACACGGUGGAUGCCUAGGCAGUCAGAGGCGAUGAAGGGCGUGCUAAUCUGCGAAAAGCGUCGGUAAGCUGAUAUGAAGCGUUAUAACCGACGAUACCCGAAUGGGGAAACCCAGUGCAAUACGUUGCACUAUCGUUAGAUGAAUACAUAGUCUAACGAGGCGAACCGGGGGAACUGAAACAUCUAAGUACCCCGAGGAAAAGAAAUCAACCGAGAUUCCCCCAGUAGCGGCGAGCGAACGGGGAGGAGCCCAGAGUCUGAAUCAGUUUGUGUGUUAGUGGAAGCGUCUGGAAAGUCGCACGGUACAGGGUGAUAGUCCCGUACACCAAAAUGCACAGGCUGUGAACUCGAUGAGUAGGGCGGGACACGUGACAUCCUGUCUGAAUAUGGGGGGACCAUCCUCCAAGGCUAAAUACUCCUGACUGACCGAUAGUGAACCAGUACCGUGAGGGAAAGGCGAAAAGAACCCCGGCGAGGGGAGUGAAAUAGAACCUGAAACCGUGUACGUACAAGCAGUGGGAGCACCUUCGUGGUGUGACUGCGUACCUUUUGUAUAAUGGGUCAGCGACUUAUAUUUUGUAGCAAGGUUAACCGAAUAGGGGAGCCGUAGGGAAACCGAGUCUUAACUGGGCGUCUAGUUGCAAGGUAUAGACCCGAAACCCGGUGAUCUAGCCAUGGGCAGGUUGAAGGUUGGGUAACACUAACUGGAGGACCGAACCGACUAAUGUUGAAAAAUUAGCGGAUGACUUGUGGCUGGGGGUGAAAGGCCAAUCAAACCGGGAGAUAGCUGGUUCUCCCCGAAAGCUAUUUAGGUAGCGCCUCGUGAACUCAUCUUCGGGGGUAGAGCACUGUUUCGGCUAGGGGGCCAUCCCGGCUUACCAAACCGAUGCAAACUCCGAAUACCGAAGAAUGUUAUCACGGGAGACACACGGCGGGUGCUAACGUCCGUCGUGAAGAGGGAAACAACCCAGACCGCCAGCUAAGGUCCCAAAGUCAUGGUUAAGUGGGAAACGAUGUGGGAAGGCACAGACAGCCAGGAUGUUGGCUUAGAAGCAGCCAUCAUUUAAAGAAAGCGUAAUAGCUCACUGGUCGAGUCGGCCUGCGCGGAAGAUGUAACGGGGCUAAACCAUGCACCGAAGCUGCGGCAGCGACACUUAGGUGUUGUUGGGUAGGGGAGCGUUCUGUAAGCCGUUGAAGGUGACCUGUGAGGGUUGCUGGAGGUAUCAGAAGUGCGAAUGCUGACAUAAGUAACGAUAAUGCGGGUGAAAAACCCGCACGCCGGAAGACCAAGGGUUCCUGUCCAACGUUAAUCGGGGCAGGGUGAGUCGACCCCUAAGGCGAGGCUGAAAAGCGUAGUCGAUGGGAAACAGGUUAAUAUUCCUGUACUUGGUGUUACUGCGAAGGGGGACGGAGAAGGCUAGGCUGGCCGGGCGACGGUUGUCCCGGUUUAAGCGUGUAGGGGGAGUGACCAGGUAAAUCCGGUUGCUUAUCAACCCUGAGGCGUGAUGACGAUGCACUACGGUGCAGAAGCAGUUGAUGCCAUGCUUCCAGGAAAAGCCUCUAAGCAUCAGGUAACAUUAAAUCGUACCCCAAACCGACACAGGUGGUCAGGUAGAGAAUACUCAGGCGCUUGAGAGAACUCGGGUGAAGGAACUAGGCAAAAUGGUGCCGUAACUUCGGGAGAAGGCACGCUGGCGUUAGGUGAAAGGACUAGCUCCUGGAGCUGAAGCCAGUCGCAGAUACCAGCUGGCUGCAACUGUUUAAUAAAAACACAGCACUGUGCAAACACGAAAGUGGACGUAUACGGUGUGACGCCUGCCCGGUGCUGGAAGGUUAAUUGAUGGGGUCAGCCGCAAGGCGAAGCUCUUGAUCGAAGCCCCAGUAAACGGCGGCCGUAACUAUAACGGUCCUAAGGUAGCGAAAUUCCUUGUCGGGUAAGUUCCGACCUGCACGAAUGGCGUAAUGAUGGCCAGGCUGUCUCCACCCGAGACUCAGUGAAAUUGAACUCGCUGUGAAGAUGCAGUGUACCCGCGGCAAGACGGAAAGACCCCGUGAACCUUUACUAUAGCUUGACACUGAACAUUGAGCCUUGAUGUGUAGGAUAGGUGGGAGGCCUUGAAGUGUGGACGCCAGUCUGCAUGGAGCCAACCUUGAAAUACCACCCUUUAAUGUUUGAUGUUCUAACUCGGCCCCAUGAUCUGGGGUGAGGACAGUGUCUGGUGGGUAGUUUGACUGGGGCGGUCUCCUCCCAAAGAGUAACGGAGGAGCACGAAGGUUGCUAAUCACGGUCGGACAUCGUGAGGUUAGUGCAAAGGCAUAAGCUAGCUUGACUGCGAGAGUGACGGCUCGAGCAGGUACGAAAGUAGGUCUUAGUGAUCCGGUGGUUCUGAAUGGAAGGGCCAUCGCUCAACGGAUAAAAGGUACUCCGGGGAUAACAGGCUGAUACCGCCCAAGAGUUCAUAUCGACGGCGGUGUUUGGCACCUCGAUGUCGGCUCAUCACAUCCUGGGGCUGAAGUAGGUCCCAAGGGUAUGGCUGUUCGCCAUUUAAAGUGGUACGCGAGCUGGGUUUAGAACGUCGUGAGACAGUUCGGUCCCUAUCUGCCGUGGGCGUUGGAAGAUUGAGAGGGGCUGCUCCUAGUACGAGAGGACCGGAGUGGACGAAUCACUGGUGUUCGGGUUGUCAUGCCAAUGGCAUUGCCCGGUAGCUAAAUUCGGAAGAGAUAACCGCUGAAAGCAUCUAAGCGGGAAACUUGCCUCGAGAUGAGUCUUCCCUGGGGCUUAAAGCCCCCUGAAGGAACGUUAAAGACUAUGACGUUGAUAGGCUGGGUGUGUAAGUGCAGCGAUGUAUUGAGCUAACCAGUACUAAUGAUCCGUGAGGCUUAACCUU